rnacentral:misc_RNA from 1 species
GGAAGUAAAGUCGUAACAAGGUUUCCGUAGGUGAACCUGCGGAAGGAUCAUUAUCGAAAUACUUAUUUAGCGUUCCGUGCUAUCCCAUUGUUUUAUUUACCCUGUUGCUUCCACUGGAUGAGUUUCCAUACCUUGUGUUUGAGAAACUUUGGCUUGUGUAAGAUUCAUUCACGGCCAGCCAGUGAGAAGACCAUUUACAAAACCCUGUUAAGAACCAAUUGUCUGAAUAUUUUACUCCAAUGAAAUAAAACUUUCAACAACGGAUCUCUAGGCUCUU